UAGGAUUCCAGGAUGCCGUGAGAAAGCAAAACUUUAGAAUCAGAGCUCAGUUUGAAUCUUUGGCGCUUUCAUUCAGUGGCUGCGUGACCUGAGGAAGUCACAACCACGCUGAGCCUCAAUGUCCUCAUCUGUAAAAUGGAGAUCAUAGUAUCCGUUGUCUUACAGGAUUGUGGCAAAAUACCGAGCUAAAGUUCCUGGCACGCAGUACCAGCUCAGGAAAGGUUCAUCUCUUCCUCCUCCGCAGAUUCAGCCUGGGACGCUUGCUGUUUCCGAACUUCUGUUGCCACCUAUCCCAGUUUGGAGGGAAUUUUCCCAAGGAUGGUGAAGAAGGGAUUUCCACACGCCGCCUCACUCAGCCCCGCACCCCUGGCCACCAGCCAGGACUUAGGGUGUAGCUUUAUGACCACACUGCCGUAGGAAGCCGUAAGUUGGAAAUCAACAGGCCUGGCUUGAAGUGUGGCCUUAGGCAACACCGUUCUCAUCUACAUCUGGAUUCUCCAACCAAGCUGGUAGGACUCAGAGGUCACAGUCCAACUGUCUGGAAGAAAAUUUCAACUGAAAUUUGUUUUUGCCUAAUCCAUACAAUAAGAAGGAGGAAGGAGAAAAGAACGUGAAGGAGAGAGAUUUGGGGUCCUUUUAGGCAAGGCAAACAUUCUCAUGUUACCACUGGGACCACUUCUCUUAUCUGCAUGAUCUACAUCCACUGGUCCCUUAAGGCAUUUGAGUUUGCCACUCUGGACUGGAAUAUUUUCAUGUCCCUUCUUUUUGUUUUUGUUGUUGUUGCUGAGUUGUUUUUGUUUGUUUGUUUGUUUGUUUUGAGACAGAGUCUUGCUCUGUUGCCUAGGCUGGAGUGCAAUGGCGCGAUCUGAGCUCACUGCAACCUCCGCCUCCCAGGAUCAAGCUAUUCUCCUGCCUCAGCCUCCCAAGUAGCUGGGAUUACAGGCGCCUGCCACCACGCCCAGCUAAUUUUUGUAUUUUUAGUAGAGACAAGGUUUCACCAUAUUGGCCAGGCUGGUGUCAAACUCCUGACCUCAAGUGAUCUGCCUGCCUCGGCCUCCCAAAGUGCUGGGAUUACAGGCAUGAGCCAAUGUGCCCGGCCCAUUUUUGUGUCCUUUCUGUUGAUAGUGUUUGGUGCUGCUGAGGUCUCUACUUCCAUAGGGCUUUCUUCCCCAGGCUCUGUCCUGUCAUACAUUCACUGAAUCAGUGCCAGGGCCUGACUUCAUCUAAGGGAUCUUCAUCCAAGUCAAGCCUGACAAAUGGGGCUUAUCUCAAUUAUCAUUUCCUAUCAAUUGGGAAUGGCUGCCUAGAACAUUGCGUUAAAGCUAAUUCUGAACUUGUAUUCAGGCUCACUGGGAAGAGAGAUAUCUGCCAGGGGAUUAGAUGGGGAGAUAGAGUCAUGGUGCUAUUAUUUGCAGUCCUUGGUAAACCAGCCUCUCAUUUUACAGGUAGGAGAUGAAGGCCCAAAGAUGGUAAAUUACAAGCCCCCUGUCACUCAGGAGAUGGGCCGAGACCCUGAUUCCAAGCCAAGACUCUUUCCACCUCUGUUAAAAUGGAUUCCCCAACUGAAAUGCUCAUCAUCUCUGCCUUCCAAAUCCUCCCUUCAUGGAGGACCUAGUCAAAGUCCUUUACAGACAUGUCUUCACAGAGGGCUCCAGCCCUCACUAACGACCUCUCUCAAUCCACCACCCCACAGCCUCUUCCAUCCAGCCUGGUCCUGGGUUCAUGGAACUAGUGGUUGAGUUACUAAGCAGGCUCCAGGAAACAUAGCAGUGUACAAGAGAGAUGCCACACUCCCUCUGGCAAAAAAAAAAAAAGGCAAACUAAAAUACUCAUUAGAUGAUCACUUACUUAAUUAUGGCUGUGGUAAGCCUCAGAAGAAGAAUCUCUCUGAGCAUGCCUAAAGGGAGGUUGGCCACUCAGGGAAGGCCUGUUUGAGGAAGUCACCUUUGAGAUGAGAUGGGAAAGAUAACUGGCAGGCAGGAGUGAGGGGGAAGACUCCAGAAAUAGGAAACAGGAAAGUUUCCUAUCAAUUGAAGAAACUGGAAGAGGCAGAGCACAGACAAUGAAGGCACAAAAGGGCCUUGGGAGCCAAGGACAGGGGUUGUUCUCCAUCCCAAGAGCAAUGGGAAGUUUUGAAGGGUUUUGCAGGGAACAUAACGCUGGUUCCUUUUUUGUUUUUUGUUUUUUGUUUGAGAUGGGGUCUCACUCUGUUGCCUAGGCUGGAGUACAGUGGCACAAUCAUAGCUCACUGCAGCCCAUCUCCUGGGCUCAAGUGAUCCUCCCACCUCAGUCUCCCGAGCAGCUGAGACCACAGGUACGCACCACCAUGCCCAGCUAACUUUUCUCUUUUGAGUAGAGAUGAGGGUCUCACCAUGUUGCCCAGGCUGGUCUUGAACUCCUGGCUUCAAGUGAUCCUUCUGCCUUGGCCUCCCAAAGUGCUGGGAUUACAGGCAUGAGCCACUGUGCCUGACCUAACACUGAUUCUAAGCUGUCUUAUGUAGUUCUCUCAUUGCACACAGCAGGAACCUAACAUAAAGCUAUUGAAUUGAAUGGAGCUUUCCCCAUGGAGGAUGGUAAACUCCAGGUAGCCUGCUAGGGGCAUGGGACAUAGAGUAACACAUGGUCAGGACUCAAAGGAACCUGCUCAGUGGCACCGGUCAUGGUUAUUGACUAGACCCUGCUCCAUGUUUCUCAGUGCCUACCACGGGGUACUCCUACUUGCUAUCUCUCCAAAUUCGGUGUCUCUUUUAUAUCCUACUGCCUUCUCAGCAUCUCCACUCAACACAGCCAAAAGUGAACUCGUGAUAUUCCCCACCACCACCCCCUGCAAUCCCUCUGCACUCCCCAUCUUAGUAAAUGGCAACUCCCAGAUGUCCAUCCAACCUCCCAUGGUUCCAGCCAUUUUCACACCAAUCCUGUGAAUAUGGGCAUUCAGAAUGAACACCGGGCCAAGCGGCUAACUGGACCAGGUAUCCGCACAGGCAAGGAUACGUCACAGGCGCCUUCUCCACAGUAGCCCAGCACAGUGUUUUGAUCCAUGGAUGACGGGCUGAGGUCUUCCAUCUCCCAGAUGUGCUUAUCUCUUAGGGAAGGGAAUUCCAAGUGCAACUGAACAUUCUGUCUGAGGACUUUUACUCUGACCACCUAAAAGCUCUUUUUGAUAAGAUAAAGGGGAUUACUUUAAUCAUCUUUAAACUAAUCCAGCCGAACUAUAAAUCCAUGCUCUCCCAUUUGAGCUA